rnacentral:rRNA from 1 species
ACGGAAGGCAGCAGUGGGGAAUAUUGCACAAUGGGGGAAACCCUGAUGCAGCGACGCCGCGUGAGUGAAGAAGUAUUUCGGUAUGUAAAGCUCUAUCAGCAGGAAAGAAAAUGACGGUACCUGACUAAGAAGCCCCGGCUAACUACGUGCCAGCAGCCGCGGUAAUACGUAGGGGGCAAGCGUUAUCCGGAUUUACUGGGUGUAAAGGGAGCGUAGACGGCUUUGCAAGUCUGAAGUGAAAGCCCGGGGCUCAACCCCGGAACUGCUUUGGAAACUGUAGAGCUAGAGUGCAGGAGAGGUAAGUGGAAUUCCUAGUGUAGCGGUGAAAUGCGUAGAUAUUAGGAGGAACACCAGUGGCGAAGGCGGCUUACUGGACUGUAACUGGCGUUGAGGCUCGAAGGCGUGGGGAGCAAACAGGAUUAGAUACCCUGGUA